rnacentral:rRNA from 1 species
AUGACUCAAUCAGAUAAGACUACCCGCUGAACUUAAGCAUAUC